CCCACCCUGAGACCCAUCUCCUCCCCGCGGGCUCUAUCUCCUGCUCCCCAGCCCUGGGGUGUUCCACACUGGGGAUCACACUCUUCAGGAAGCCUUCUUUUUUUUUUUUUUCUGCUGCAACUGCCAGAAAGGUACAGUUACAUAUUUUUGCAAAAAACAAAAGGAAGAAUCUCUGGAAACUGGGGGACUUGGCGGCUUUUGCCAGAUGUCUAGGUUGCCUUUCACAUCACCGCGUGGAGACAGCGUGGUUGGUCUGGGUCACACCCUACCUAGAGUUGGCAGGAAACUAAAUUCAUUCCCCCAAAGUUGCCAGGACUUCCCAGGGAAGCUGCAGCAGCUCUCGGUGCCAGCUUCCUGGCGGUGGCUCCUCUCCCAGUGACAGUGCGUGGCUCCGGCCUGGCAGGAAUGGUAGUGAUGUGUGAUCCAGAGGCCUUCCUGUCCAUCUGCUUUGUCACCUUGGUCUUCCCACAGCUCCCACUAGCCAGCAUCUGGAAAGUUGACUUUGAUGUCACUGGGCCUCAUGCCCCUAUUCUGGCUAUGGCUGGGGGACACGUGGAGUUACAGUGCCAGCUGUUCCCCAAUAUCAGUGCCGAGGACAUGGAGCUGAGGUGGUACAGGUGCCAGCCCUCCCUAGCUGUGCACAUGCAUGAGAGAGGGAUGGACAUGGAUGGAGAGCAAAAGUGGCAGUACAGAGGAAGGACCACCUUCAUGAGUGACCAGGUGGCCAGGGGCAAGGCCAUGGUGAGGAGUCACAGGGUCACCACCUUUGACAACGGGACAUACUGCUGCCGCUUCAAGGAUGGUGUAAAGUUCGGCGAGGCCACUGUGCAGGUGCAGGUGGCAGGGCUGGGCACGGAGCCCAGAAUCCAGGUGACAGACCAGCAGGAUGGAGUCAGGGCGGAGUGCACAUCAGCAGGCUAUUUCCCCAAGUCCUGGGUGGAACGGAGAGACUUCAGGGGCCAGGCUAGGCCUGCUGUGACCAAUCUAUCAGCCUCAGCCACCACCAGGCUCUGGGCUGUGGCAUCCAGCUUGACGCUCUGGGACAGGGCUGUGGAGGGUCUCUCCUGCUCCAUCUCCAGCCCCCUCCUCCCUGAAAGGAGGAAGGUGGCUGAGAGCCACCUGCCCGCUACCUUCUCCAGAAGCUCCCAGUUCACGGCAUGGAAAGCGGCUCUGCCUCUGAUCCUUGUUGCCAUGGGACUCGUAAUAGCUGGAGGCAUCUGCAUCUUCUGGAAACGUCAAAGGGAAAAGAACAAAGCAUCACUGGAAGAAGAGAGGGAGUGAAGAGAAAAGGAGCAGAGGCGGCCCACCAGCAGCGACAAGGUUGAGCCAUGGCGUGGUGAGCAGGGAGCCCCAACAAGGCACAUCCUGCCCCCCCACCCCAAACCCAGGACCCUAACACGAAGCCCUGAGCUGCGGCUUUGUCCAUGUGUCCUCAAACACAGUAGGAAUGGGGUGGCCAGUGGGGAUCCUCACUCUGACAUUGCCCGAUUAUGAUCUAGCCAGUGAGACCAUCUGUCUCCUAGCAAUCCCUCGAUUAAGUCUUCACUGGCUGAUUUCAGGCAGGCUGGUUGGGCUCUGUCUUGAAAACGGACAGAUCUGAGUUUGAACCCCAAGUCUGAUGGGUGUGGACUGAGGGACCUGGUGUGAGCCCUGAGCCACUCUGUCUGCUGGGAGUGCUGAUACCAUCCUGAAAGACCAACAGAGUAGCAUUCAGAGCAGGGCCGCGUCAGGGAGGGUUUACAGUUGCAAUCACUGUGAUUAUUCUCAAUAUUGACUGUGUCCUUCAUUCAUUCACUUCACUCACUUCCUCCUCUGUCAUUUCAGGAGUUGAGGACUUGUUCCUAGACUUCAGAGCCCUAUUUUGAGAGUAGAGAUUGUGCUCAGCUGGUUAUAAAGACUGCAUUAUGACAGAGUUGCUUGUGAUGGCUUGCAGCUGUCAUCCAGCAUUUUGGGAGGCUCAGGCGGGAAAAUUGCUUGAGGCCAGGAGUUUGAGGACACCCUGGGCAAUACAGCAAGACCCCAU